GUAGGUAAGGGAAGUCGGCAAACCCGAUCUGUAACUUGGGGAUAAGGAUUGGCUCUGAGGAUCGUGGCGCGCCGGGCUUGGUCGGGAAGUGGAGCGGUGCCAACGUGCCGGGCCUGGGCGAGGUGAAGGGCGCUCGUCGUCUGGACCCUAGCUCGGUCCCGUGCCUUGGCCACCCACGGACCUUCCUUGCUGCGAGCCUCCCGGCUGUCUAGUUUUCGGCCCAGCCGGAGUACGGGCCGGAAGGCUCUUCGGCCGCCAUAGAACGAUCAACUUAGAACUGGCACGGACCUGGGGAAUCCGACUGUCUAAUUAAAACAAAGCAUUGCGAUGGCCCU
rnacentral:rRNA from 1 species